rnacentral:rRNA from 1 species
GACGGAGGGGGCUAGCGUUGUUCGGAAUGACUGGGCGUAAAGGGCGCGUAGGCGGUGUAAUAAGUGAGGCGUGAAAGCCCUGGGCUUAACCCAGGAGGUGCGUUUCAUACUGUUACGCUAGAGUGCGAGAGAGGAAAGUGGAAUUCCUAGUGUAGAGGUGAAAUUCGUAGAUAUUAGGAAGAACACCAGAGGCGAAGGCGGCUUUCUGGCUCGCAACUGACGCUGAGGCGCGAAAGCGUGGGGAGCAAACAGG